rnacentral:snRNA from 1 species
UUGACCCCUGAGUUACAAAUGUCCAAUUUCUAAUGACACAGAGAUUAGCUUGGCCCCUGCAGAAGAGUGACCUGCCAAUUGAUGAAAUGUUCCAUAUUUUU